CUCUAGUUCACCACUCUGUCUGCCCUUCCUGAGGGGAGUCCUAGGCCGAGACCAGGUUCCCUCACCGUCCGGCUAUCAGGAGCUCUCUCUCAGACGCCUUCUUCCUCAUCUUGGUGUAGAGGUCCACGGUGAAGAGGGUGCUGGAGCUGUUGAAGAUGGAGGUCAGAGAGCUCAUGAGGGAGGCCACCAUGACUGACAGCAUCAGGCCUCGAAGUCCUUGGGUCAGGAGAGAUGUCGAUGGUCUAGCCCAACAGAUAUGAGCCAGCUAGAGCUUCAACGCAUGUGGGAGGAGCCGAUCGCCCUUCAGCAUUCCAUGAAAGCUCACUACCAGGGAAGCAUCUGAUGAUCUUCACCCUCCCUCUUCUCCAAAUCCACUCCACUAGUCUCCCCCACCAGUUCUGUAGCAUAUCACCUGCCAUGCCCCCCCUUCCUGUUUGACCCUAUCUCUAGUGGGUCUUGCUGCCUUCCUCACUACCCCAUCCCUUUGUCUCAGGCACCGAAUCUGGGGGCUUUCUCAAGAAUCCUGCCAGCCACAAAGGCCAGUGAAUCAGUGAACCAUGGCCGUUCCUAGCAGUGACCUUUGAGGUCUCCAAGAAGAGGAUGGGGCCCUGAAACAACAAGCCCACCUGGAUUGUGAUAACACCACUAAGCUGAUAAACAUCACCUGAAGAUCAGCUUCAGAUUACAAACUGUCAGGAGUUCACAAGAGACCAACACUGUUGGGAGCAGUGAGACCCCAGAUCCUGAAUUUCUUGUAAACAACUUGUUCUCCCCUGAUCUAAGGGCCUACAGCUGCUCUGAGCAC